rnacentral:rRNA from 1 species
AGCAGUCGCCGCGGUAACACCGAGGGUGCGAGCGUUAAUCGGAUUUACUGGGCGUAAAGCGUGCGUAGGCGGCUUUUUAAGUCGGAUGUGAAAUCCCUGAGCUUAACUUAGGAAUUGCAUUCGAUACUGGGAAGCUAGAGUAUGGGAGAGGAUGGUAGAAUUCCAGGUGUAGCGGUGAAAUGCGUAGAGAUCUGGAGGAAUACCGAUGGCGAAGGCAGCCAUCUGGCCUAAUACUGACGCUGAGGUACGAAAGCAUGGGGAGCAAACAGGAUUAGAUACCCGCGUAGUCCCUGUCUCUUAUAC